rnacentral:rRNA from 1 species
GUCUGUCACGCUUCGCUUCAGGCUUUCACACCUGCAAGUCUAGGGGUCUCAUGGGGUUUGCUUGCAAACUCUGAUUGGCUACCGGCGCACGGGUGAAUUAACGCGUUAUCCAACCUUCCCCCUAGUUAGGGCAUUCGCCCGGCUAAAGUCGGAUUAAUACCCUAUGUUGUGUCAUGAGGACAUCUGAAUAACACUAAAGAAUUGAUCGCUAGGGGAUGGGGAUGCGUCCGAUUAGGCCGCAGGCGGGGUAACGGCCCACCUGGCCGACGAUCGGUAGGGGUUCUGAGAGGAAGGUCCCCCACACUGGUACUGAGACACGGACCAAACUCCUACGGGAGGCAGCAGUGAGGAAUAUUGGUCAAUGGGCGCGAGCCUGAAACAGCCAUGCGCGUGAAGGAUUAAGGCCCUAUGGGUCGUAAACUUCUUUUGACGGGGAGCAUAAGGGGCGUCGUGCACGUCNGAUGAGAGUACUCGUCGAAUAAGCAUCGGCUAACUCCGUGNCAGCAGCCGCGGUAUAACGGAGGAUGCAAACGUUAUCCGGAUUUAUGGGGUUUAAANGUUGCGUANGCUGACUU